ACAUCUUUAUAUCUAUAAAUAUAUGUAGUGCUCCUUUUAAAGUAGUAUAAAGGGUUUUUAAGAAUUAUUAUUUGGGGGCGCCUGGGUGGCGCAGUCGGUUAAGCGUCCGACUUCAGCCAGGUCACGAUCUCGCGGUCCGGGAGUUCGAGCCCCGCGUCGGGCUCUGGGCUGAUGGCUCAGAGCCUGGAGCCUGUUUCCGAUUCUGUGUCUCCCUCUCUCUCUGCCCCUCCCCCGUUCAUGCUCUGUCUCUCUCUGUUCCAAAAAUAAAUAAACGUUGAAAAAAAAAAUUAAAAAAAAAAAAAGAAUUAUUAUUUGUUCAAUGGAAACAGCUUAGAAUAGGAUGGGGCAGGGAACAUUCCAAGGGUUAAAAGAAGGGAGCCAAUCGCAAAGAGGGAUGGGAAAAGGUAUGGCUGCGGAGAGUGAGGGCAGAGGCAUCUCUGGCCCUGGAUGAGACACUAUGGGUCAAAGCCCUGCAUCUAGAGUAACACUUUGUCCCCUGAUCCUGUCCUCACUCCAUUAUUGCAUCACCUCUGUCUCUGGUUGAUGCUGUGAUGAGGUUAGAACCCUUGAUAGCUUUUUUUUCUUUUUGUAUCUGAACGGUGGUUUUACUGACCAAUAUGUUCCUGGAUAAGGACUCCAAGCCCAGAGUACACAGUUAAAGCAACUACUUUGUUUCCAAAAAGAAAGUACACAAGGAAUCCCGAGUGUCCCCCACUAAUGUGAGAGCUUGACCCCCGACCGGUCUCCACCCAGUUCUGGUCUCCACCCAGCUAGAGAAAAACGUCCUCUAGCUGGCCAGUCUGUCAUCCACUGUGACACCUGCUUACAAGGCAGGCGUGGCAUCGACCGACAUCUGCUCACCGUCCAAGCACCAGGUAUGGGCUGAGCAGCUCCGCAAGCACGUUUGCCAGAUGCUCUCGUUUGCGUUAAAAUCGAACGUGCGCGCUGACACAUGGCUGCUGGCCGCGGAUCUCGAAUUAGAUGCGGGUCCACUUGUCCUCUCUGUCUGUCACAUCAAAGUAGCCGGUGCCAAGAUGUAGCGGAUCUCGUCGUCCGGGUGCAGCGUCAAGCUUCCAGUAAAGAACCCCGAGCAGGCGCAGGUGCUCCAGGCGAACCAGGCCGCAGGGCUCGCUGCGGUGGGGCAGCCUCGGGUCGUCGACCGACUUGUCCACGUACGAGGCCUGCCCCAUGGCCGGGCGGAGGACGCAGCGAAGGAGGAGCCAAAUCCUUGAUAGCUUAA
rnacentral:lncRNA from 1 species